rnacentral:rRNA from 1 species
AACGAACGCUGGCGGCAGGCUUAACACAUGCAAGUCGAGCGCCCCGCAAGGGGAGCGGCAGACGGGUGAGUAACGCGUGGGAACAUACCCUUUCCUGCGGAAUAGCUCCGGGAAACUGGAAUUAAUACCGCCUACGACCUACGGGGGAAAGAUUUAUCGGGGAAGGAUUGGCCCGCGUUGGAUUAGCUAGUUGGUGGGGUAAAGGCCUACCAAGGCGACGAUCCAUAGCUGGUCUGAGAGGAUGAACAGCCACAUUGGGACUGAGACACGGCCCAAACUCCUACGGGAGGCAGCAGUGGGGAAUAUUGGACAAUGGGCGCAAGCCUGAUCCAGCCAUGCCGCGUGAGUGAUGAAGGCCUUAGGGUUGUAAAGCUCUUUCACCGGAGAAGAUAAUGACGGUAUCCGGAGAAGAAGCCCCGGCUAACUUCGUGCCAGCCGCCGCGGUAA